rnacentral:rRNA from 1 species
UACGAAGGGGGGCUAGCGUUGCUCGGAAUCACUGGGCGUAAAGCGCACGUAGGCGGCUUUUUAAGUCAGGGGUGAAAUCCUGGAGCUCAACUCCAGAACUGCCUUUGAUACUGGGAAGCUUGAGUCCGGGAGAGGUGAGUGGAACUCCGAGUGUAGAGGUGGAAUGCGCAGAUAUCAGGAGGAACACCAACAGCGAAGGCAGCUCGCUGGGACGGUACUGACGCUGAGGCGCGAAAGCGUGGGGAGCGAACAGG